rnacentral:rRNA from 1 species
UUAGAGUUUGAUCCUGGCUCAGGAUUAACGCUGGCGGCAUGCCUAAUACAUGCAAGUCGAACGGAAAAUAUAGAAGUGCUUGCACAUUUAUAUUUUUAGUGGCCAACGGGUGAGUAAUAUAUAGACAACCUACCUUCCAGUUGGGGAUAACAGAGGGAAACUUCUGCUAAUACCGAAUAUGAUAAAGAAACACAAGUAAUUUUAUUGAAAGGGGCUCCAAAGCCCCGCUAGAAGAGGGGUCUAUAUCGCAUUAGCUAGUUGGUAAGAUAACAGCCUACCAAGGCGAUGAUGCGUAGCUGUACUGAGAGGUAGAACAGCCACAUUGGGACUGAGAUACGGCCCAAACUCCUACGGGAGGCAGCAGUAGGGAAUUUUCGGCAAUGGGGGGAACCCUGACCGAGCAAUGCCGCGUGAUUGAAGACGGUCUUCGGACUGUAAAGAUCUGUUAUUAGGGAAGAAUUUUUACUUUAGGAAAUGGAAGUAAAUUGACGGUGCCUAAUGAGGAAGCCCCGGCUAACUAUGUGCCAGCAGCCGCGGUAAUACAUAGGGGGCAAGCGUUAUCCGGAAUUAUUGGGCGUAAAGGGUACGUAGGCGGGCUUGCAAGUCUGAUUUGAAAGCACAUGGCUUAACCAUGUGAGGUAAUUAGAAACUACGAGUCUAGAGAGUGGUAGAGGUAAAUGGAAUUCCAAGUGGAGCGGUGAAAUGCGUAGAGAUUUGGAGGAACACCAGUGGCGAAGGCGGUUUACUGGGCCACAUCUGACGCUGAUGUACGAAAGCGUGGGGAGCAAACAGGAUUAGAUACCCUGGUAGUCCACGCCGUAA